GUUGAGAGUUCUGCAGUCGGAAGGGGAUGACUUCUGGUCCGCAACCCAGUGACCACUUCCUGAAGGUCCUGAUUCAUGAGUCUGCUCCUUUGAUUUGAAGGAGUGUACAGUUGCCAUAGCCAAGGUAGCCUAGGGUGUCCAGUAUCAGCAUAAAAAGCAGCAGUAAAAAGGAACUAUUCAGAGAUGAAUUUUUGUGCUGUUCCGUGAAAAAGUAAAAGCUAUCUGUGCCAGCAAGUCUGUGAAGUAAUUUUUUUCUUGUAAUU